UGGCUGCAAAGAGCAGAGCAGACCUGAUCAGCAUGUGAGAACCUGCCCUGGUAAAGAAAUCCUGGGCUUGUUUCUACCUGAGCCACCUGAUGUCUUCUUGAGGUAAACAUGGCUGUUAACAAAAACCACAUUUGAAAAGUUUGCUGGCAGUACUUUUAUACCCUUGGCUUCAUAAACAGCUUCAUAAAUGUGCCAAAGAAGCCAAAUCAUUAAAUGUGGCAGUAAAUAGAAAUUUCAUUAAGGAGAUCAGCAAUGGUGCUCCCUCCCUCCUUAAGCAAUGCAAGGGAGCACAGCUGGAGAGGUGUGGGACAGGGACAUGAGCUUGUCUCACUGCCUUUGGCGGAGCAGCAGGGCACAAACUAUUGUCCUUAUUUAAUGCUCCAGGUCUGGUCACUGUGACAGGUCUCUGACCUCACCCUUAGUCCCAGCAGGAGCUGAACCCAGCAGGAAAGGAUCUGCCCUGCUCCUGCACCACCUACAUAAAGCAACAUUACAGUUGCUUCUAGAAGCUGAAGGAAACGUGAUUACCAUCAAAAUGGAAAAACCCUCAGACACCAGCUAUGCUAAGCAGCUGCAGUAUGGAGCUUGGGAAAAACAUUUUGUGAGGAACAUCACUGUGCUGGAAACAAACUCCACAUGUGCAGAUGUGCAUGGAUACAUUCUCUUUAAAAACAGUCAUCAAGAUGGUUCCUCUGCUCUGAUAAGCCUCUCCUCCCUGCUGGAGUUGCCUCCUUCUUAAAGGAUCCCUCCUCCAGCCCCCAGGCACAGACAGCAGAGCAGCAGCACAGCAGAGCAGCAGCACAGCAGAGCAGCAGCACAGAGCACAGCAGCAUCUUCGGCUCCAUCCACACCGCGAUGGGGACCGAGCCGAGGGGGUUUGAUUCCAUCCGGCCCUUCCUGAGCGCCUCUCCCCAGACCAAGGGAUUUUUCCGGCUGGGGUCACAGUCCAGCGGCUGUUUCAGUCCCACUCCUUGUGCCGUGCCACCAUCUAGUGGCGGCUGGGCCGAGGGGAAGCGACCCGGCCUGCCGGGAGCCCCGGGGCUGCGCGGUCCAGCUGCAUCCCGGGAUGCUGCUGGCAGCGCUCUGCUGAUGGAGCAUUGCACCCAGCAGGUUAACCAGGAUAACCCUUCUCCCACUGUGUCAUCCUGCUCUGCUCCCUCCUGUAAUGAGAUUUUCGAAGUGUUUGAUGUGGUUCUGUGGCUCUGUCGCUCCGGGCCUU